AUAGUACUCUUCCAAGUUCAAGGCCUCUAUAAAUAGCAACACCUAUGCAUUGAGAUAAUCACCUUCACAAAUAGACUCAAUAUUUUCUGGAAACAAAUAAGAAAAGCAUCAGUAAUGGAGAGGAAAUCACUUGCUGGGCUGUGCUUCUUCCUCAUUGUUCUCUUAGCUGCUCAAGAAGUGGUGGUGCAAACUGAGGCUUGUCAGAAACCGAGUGCUUUGUUCUCUGGUGGAUGUGUUGGCACAUCUGGCAACCAACAAUGUGACUAUCUGUGCAGGAGAGGAGAAGGUUUACUCAGUGGCACUUGCAAAAGUCUGAAGUGCGUUUGUGCUUGUUGAGUAAUUGACC